rnacentral:tRNA from 1 species
GGGGUUGGGGCUCAGUGGUAGAGCACUCGCCUGGCAUGUGUGAGGCCCUGGGUUCGAUCUUCAGCACCA